rnacentral:lncRNA from 1 species
CCAGCCUCCCCCACCACCCCAGGCUGUCCGCCCAGGCUCCAGGAAUGCAAGUUCCCGCUCACAGGAAGACCAGGUCUUCUGCCUCAGUUUCCCUGCCUGACAAUCCAGGGGAGCAAUGCCUGUGGGGCUGCUCACUGCCCCCAGACCUUCUGCACAUGUGUGACUCCUGUGACAUCCUCUGUCUCCAGGUUUCCAGACUUCUCAGCCCCACCCUUGCAGCAGCAGUACCACCACCGGCUCUGUCAGCGGGGAGGUCAGCCCGUUCUCUGG